GUGCGGCGAGCUAUACAUGCAAGUCGAGCGAACAGACGAGGAGCUUGCUCCUUUGACGUUAGCGGCGGACGGGUGAGUAACACGUGGAUAACCUACCUAUAAGACUGGGAUAACUUCGGGAAACCGGAGCUAAUACCGGAUAACAUGUUGAACCGCAUGGUUCAACAGUGAAAGACGGUCUUGCUGUCACUUAUAGAUGGAUCCGCGCCGCAUUAGCUAGUUGGUAAGGUAACGGCUUACCAAGGCAACGAUGCGUAGCCGACCUGAGAGGGUGAUCGGCCACACUGGAACUGAGACACGGUCCAGACUCCUACGGGAGGCAGCAGUAGGGAAUCUUCCGCAAUGGGCGAAAGCCUGACGGAGCAACGCCGCGUGAGUGAAGAAGGUCUUCGGAUCGUAAAACUCUGUUAUUAGGGAAGAACAAAUGUGUAAGUAACUAUGCACGUCUUGACGGUACCUAAUCAGAAAGCCACGGCUAACUACGUGCCAGCAGCCGCGGUAAUACGUAGGUGGCAAGCGUUAUCCGGAAUUAUUGGGCGUAAAGCGCGCGUAGGCGGUUUUUUAAGUCUGAUGUGAAAGCCCACGGCUCAACCGUGGAGGGUCAUUGGAAACUGGAAAACUUGAGUGCAGAAGAGGAAAGUGGAAUUCCAUGUGUAGCGGUGAAAUGCGCAGAGAUAUGGAGGAACACCAGUGGCGAAGGCGACUUUCUGGUCUGUAACUGACGCUGAUGUGCGAAAGCGUGGGGAUCAAACAGGAUUAGAUACCCUGGUAGUCCACGCCGUAAACGAUGAGUGCUAAGUGUUAGGGGGUUUCCGCCCCUUAGUGCUGCAGCUAACGCAUUAAGCACUCCGCCUGGGGAGUACGACCGCAAGGUUGAAACUCAAAGGAAUUGACGGGGACCCGCACAAGCGGUGAGCAUGUGGUUUAAUUCGAAGCAACGCGAAGAACCUUACCAAAUCUUGACAUCCUCUGAUCGCCUCUAGAGAUAGAGUCUUCCCCUUCGGGGGACAGAGUGACAGGUGGUGCAUGAUGUCGUCAGCCUCGUGUCGUGAGAUGUUGGUUAGUCCCGCACGAG
rnacentral:rRNA from 1 species